rnacentral:rRNA from 1 species
UGCAAGUCGAGCGGUAACAGAGAGAAGCUUGCUUCUUUGCUGACGAGCGGCGGACGGGUGAGUAAUACUUGGGAACUUGCCUCUAGGCGGGGGACAACCACUGGAAACGGUGGCUAAUACCGCAUAAUGUCUACGGACCAAAGUGGGGGACCUUCGGGCCUCACACCUAGAGAUGGGCCCAAGCGGGAUUAGCUAGUUGGUGAGGUAAAGGCUCACCAAGGCGACGAUCCCUAGCUGUUCUGAGAGGAUGAUCAGCCACACUGGGACUGAGACACGGCCCAGACUCCUACGGGAGGCAGCAGUGGGGAAUAUUGCACAAUGGGCGCAAGCCUGAUGCAGCCAUGCCGCGUGUGUGAAGAAGGCCUUCGGGUUGUAAAGCACUUUCAGUGGUGAGGAGGGUCAGUAAGUUAAUAACUUGCUGAAUUGACGUUAGCCACAGAAGAAGCACCGGCUAACUCCGUGCCAGCAGCCGCGGUAAUACGGAGGGUGCAAGCGUNAAUCGGAAUUACUGCGCGUAAAGCGUACGUAGGCGGUGUGU